rnacentral:misc_RNA from 1 species
UCUCCGUAGGUGAACCUGCGGAGGGAUCAUUACAGAGUUCAUGCCCUACCGGGUAGAUCUCCCACCCUAUGUUAUUAUUACUUUGUUGCUUUGGCGGGCCGUUAGGCUCCGGCCCGACUACCGGCCCCGGCUGGUAAGCGCCCGCCAGGGACCCAAAACCCUGAAUAUUAGUGUCGUCUGAGUACUAUAUAAUAGUUAAAACUUUCAACAACGGAUCUCUUGGUUCUG